UAAGGCUAGCAGAACAAAUAUAUAUUAUAUAUAUAUAUGUAUAUUACAUAUAUACAUCUAUGAAAAAGGUAAUAUGUCCCAUUUCUAUCCAUAGUAUCUAACAGUUGCAUUCUAACACAUCAAUCUUCAAUGUGCUAUAGUGAAGAAAUAGAAAUGAGACUCCAGAAGAUGUACAUGGGAAGAACAUCAAUACCAGAUCAAGCAUCUAAAGAAGGAAGUUGUGCUUCACAAUUCUGAAGGAUGAAUUAUCAAGUUUUCUUAAAGAAACAAGAAUAUUAAUUCAAUUGAUUCAAUUCAGCAAAUGUUUAUUAAGCCUCAAUUAUAUUCCAAGAUUUCAAGAUUGAUAUCAUUCUGUUCCUCUAUGAAUAUUUCCCUUCAUUGAUCAAUCAAGGAUAUCACACUUACAUAAUUGAGUUGUACUCACCACAUUGAUAGUUGAAGAAGAUUUUCCUGUGCAAACGAGGACCCCUCCAUCUACUAUCCUCUAUCAGCCUUAUAGUUUUCUUAUUUCCUGCUUAAUUUAAACUAUUCAAAUAAAUUCAUGAAUCUAUCCACUCUUGCUGAGGUCACCCUUUAAUUUCUUUCAGCUUUAUUUGUCAAAACAAAACAUU